rnacentral:pre_miRNA from 1 species
AUUCUACUCCCUCCAUUGCACAAUACAUGCCUUCUAUUUGUGAAAAUAUAUAUGUAUCUAGACAUGUUUUAGUAUAUAGGUACAUCCAUUUUUGGACAAAUGGAAGUCAAGUAUUUUGGAAUGGAGGGAGUACAUA